rnacentral:rRNA from 1 species
CUGGCUCAGAACGAACGCUGGCGGCACGCUUAACACAUGCAAGUCGAACGGAAUUAUGGGGCUUGCUCCAUAAUUAGUGGCGCACGGGUGAGUAACACGUGGGUACCUGCCUAUUGAUGGUGGACAACUCCGGGAAACUGGGGCUAAUACAGCAUAAGCUCGAAAGAGGAAAGAAUUUAUUCGUCGAUAGAGGGGCCUGCGUCUGAUUAGGUAGUUGGUGGGGUAAUAGCUUACCAAGCCGAUGAUCAGUAGCUGGUCUGAGAGGAUGAUCAGCCACACUGGAACUGAGACACGGUCCAGACUCCUACGGGAGGCAGCAGUGGGGAAUAUUGGACAAUGGGGGCAACCCUGAUCCAGCGAUGCCGCGUGAGUGAUGAAGGCCCUAGGGUUGUAAAGCUCUUUUGACAGGGACGAUGAUGACGGUACCUGUAGAAUAAGCACCGGCUAACUCUGUGCCAGCAGCUGC